rnacentral:rRNA from 1 species
ACCAGACUCCUACGGGAGGCAGCAGUGGGGAAUAUUGCACAAUGGGGGAAACCCUGAUGCAGCGACGCCGCGUGAGUGAAGAAGUAUUUCGGUAUGUAAAGCUCUAUCAGCAGGAACGAGACAAGACGGUACCUGACUAAGAAGCCCCGGCUAACUACGUGCCAGCAGCCGCGGUAAUACGUAGGGGGCAAGCGUUAUCCGGAAUCACUGGGUGUAAAGGGAGCGUAGACGGCUGUGCAAGCCUGAAGUGAAAGGCGGGGGCCCAACCCCUGGACUGCUUUGGGAACUGUACGGCUGGAGUGCAGGAGAGGUAAGUGGAAUUCCUAGUGUAGCGGUGAAAUGCGUAGAUAUUAGGAGGAACACCAGUGGCGAAGGCGGCUUACUGGACUGUAACUGACGUUGAGGCUCGAAAGCGUGGGGAGCAAACAGGAUUAGAUACCCGCGUACA